AGCCCCGUAGUGUAGUGUCAAUCAUCGGAGACUCUGGAUCUUUGGACAUCAGUUCGAAUCUGGUCGGGGCUA
rnacentral:tRNA from 1 species